rnacentral:rRNA from 1 species
UCUGGUGGCGAUAGCGAAGAGGUCACACCCGUUCCCAUACCGAACACGGAAGUUAAGCUCUUUAGCGCCAAUGGUAGUUGGGACUUUGUCCAUGUGAGAGUAGGACGUUGCCAGGC